UACGUAGGGUGCGAGCGUUAAUCGGAAUUACUGGGCGUAAAGGGUGCGCAGGCGGUUUUGUAAGCCAGAUGUGAAAUCCCCGGGCUUAACCUGGGAAUGGCAUUUGGGACUGCAAGGCUGGAGUGCGGCAGAGGAGACUGGAAUUCCUGGUGUAGCAGUGAAAUGCGUAGAUAUCAGGAGGAAUACCGAUGGCGAAGGCAGGUCUCUGGGCUGACACUGACGCUCAUGCACGAAAGCGUGGGAGCAACA
rnacentral:rRNA from 1 species